UUUUGAAUUAGUUGACGUGUUUAAAUCGAUACAAAUCGUUCAAUCUACUCAUAGUUUUUACAAGUAAUGUGAAAUGAAUGGAUAUUAUGUGAGGUGCCUUGUGACGCUUUAAAGUUAAGUUUUCAGUUGAUAGUUGCAGUUUUCUCACAUUCAUUUUCUAAAUCGUGACUUCAGAAAUUAUUUAAUCAUAUUACACCCAUUUUAUUAUAUUUUUGUGCCUGAAAACUCAACUAUUAAACGUUACAUGAACUGAUAGUCUUGCUCGUAAAACGCUAUUUUAUUAUUGUUAACUGUUUGUGACUAAAGUACCUUUAUACGUUAGUAGCAAAUCAGGUUUGUAUUUAUAUAUCUUUCUAUUAAUUGUUUUCUUCAUUUUAAACUUGGAAAAUGUCCAAACAUACAGGAACAAGAAACUCUUGAUGAAACAACUGAGAUCAACACUGUUUUCAAUAUGGCGUUUAUUAAAGAAGAGACUGGAGACAUGAGAAUUUCAGAAUCAUUCAGAGUGAAACAUGAAGAUACUGAGGAACAAACAGACCUGAUGCCGCUUAAAGAAGUGAGUCAAAGAUCUAAAAGAUCUUUGACCUGUCAACAGUGUGGAAAAUCGUUCACUACAGCACAAAACCUUAGAAUUCACAUGAGAGUUCAUACUGGAGAGAAGCCUUUCACAUGUGAUCAGUGUGGAAAAAGUUACACACAAAACAAUGCCUUAAAGGAUCACAUGAGGAUUCACACUGGAGAAAGACCUUUCUCGUGUGGUGAGUGUGGAAAGCAUUUUAUGCGUAAAAUCUGCCUUGAUUUCCACAUGAGGAUUCACUCAAGAGCGAAACGUUUUAUAUGUCAUCAGUGUGGACAGAGUUUCACGGCUUUGAAACGCCUUAACAUUCACAUGAUAAUUCACUCCAGAAAGAAGCCCUUUAAAUGUUACCAAUGUGAAAAGGUGUUCAAAUUUAAAAAAGAGCUGAAGAGACACUUGGAGCAGUGUUUUAUGUGCCAUCAGUGUGGAAAGUGUUUAGAAGAUGAAGAAUCCCUUAAUAACCAUAUGGAACUUCACAAUGGAGAAAAGCCUUUCACUUGUCCCCAGUGUGGAAAGAGUUUCAUACAUAAAAGAUACUUCAAUGCUCACAUGAGAAUUCACAAAAGAGAGAACGAUUUGAAAUGUGAUCAAUUUGGAGAGAUUUUUACAAAAAAUAAACUUCUUAAAAUGCAUAAAAAUACUCACCCCGAAGAGCAGCAUUUCCCUUGUCCUGAGUGUGAAAUGAGUUUCACAUCUAAAGGAAACCUUAAGACUCACAGGAGGAUUCACACUGGACAGAAAGCUUAUUCCUGGGAAGAUUUUCAUACAUAAAGAACACCUUAAUUGUAACAUGAAAAUUCAGAAAAGAGGAAAUGAUUUAAAGCUCGGGACACUUGCGGGUUGGUUGGGGGUAGAUAAGAGAUAAAUCAUUGUGUUGAUUUUAAUAAAGACACUGAACCUGGUAAAACACAA